rnacentral:tRNA from 8 species
CGCGGGGUAGAGCAGCCCGGUAGCUCGUCAGGCUCAUAACCUGAAGGUCAUAGGUUCAAAUCCUAUCCCCGCAACCA